rnacentral:rRNA from 11 species
UCUUAUAUUUCAAUUUCCCUAAAGGCACUUGAUCCUGUUUGAUUUUGGAUGCUGAGCAUGGUCAACACUGGUUAGCACUUGGAUAGAAGAUCACCAAUGAAUACCAGGUGCUAUAAUUC